rnacentral:lncRNA from 1 species
CCAGGCCUGCUCUGAGGAGGUGCCAUAGCCCUGAGAGACCGAGGUCAGUGACCUAACACAGCAGACAGCUGAGCUCACAGGCGCAGCUUGGAUACCACGUUGAUGUGGCUGUGGCGUAGGCCAGCAGCUGCAGCUCCGAUUCAGUCAACAGCCUGGAAACUUCCAUAUGUGGCGAGUGUGGCCCUAAAAAGCAAAAAAAAAAAAAAGUCUACAGUUAGGCCCUGAAAGGUGUUAUUCACAACUCACAUUUGGAUAUUGCUCUACAGUUGGCAAAGAAAUGUUUGUCCAGGUACGAGCACUGCAGCCACUGCAGCAAAGGGUCUCAGGUCCCAGGUGCUGUCUCACUCCUUCACUACCUGGCUCUGAGGACGAUGGUACUGGCCCCCUGUCACAAGUGAGGAUGCCCUGCUGAGACUUACGAGAUUGCUGCUUGAAGGAGGUCGCAGAGUGCCAAGAGUCCAAGGAGGCCUGAUUCCAAACCUCCAGAUCUUUCCCUUGCCCUGGGAGAACGGCCACAAGCAGGCCCAGAGAGGAAACUGAGGCACAGACUAGCAGAGCGACUCAGUUAAACGUUCACCAUGUAAAUGAUACAAUGGAGGACAGCCGCUGUGUUACAAUAUCUUGGAGUUUCACUAUUAUCUAAGUCAAAAACGACAUCCAGCCGUGAGCUGUGGUGUAGGUCGCAGAUACAGCUCGGAUCUGGUGUUGCUGUGGCUGUGGUAUAGACCAGAAGCUACAGCUCCGAUUCAGCCCCUAGCCUGGGAACCUCCAUAUGCCGAGGGCGUAACCCUAGAAGACAAGAAAUGAAAAUAAAACUGAAAAAAAGACAUCCAGGGACCUUCGAUUUCUCAUGGAAGGAGCUGUGUAUCAAGAAA